CAAGUACUCCCUCCGUCCGGAAUUACUUGCCAUCAAAAUGGAUGUGUCUAGAACUAAAAUACAUCUAGAUACAUCCAUUUCAAUGACAAGUAUUUUCGGACGGAUGGAGUACAAG
rnacentral:pre_miRNA from 1 species